AUUAAAUUAACCCUAUAUAUCCCUAAUCUAUGAGAGCUACUAGUAUUAGCAGUACUCUGAGUUUUUUCAAAGCGUAUAAUAACCGUUGCAAGUUCUUUCACGGAUGGAAACAAAGAGGGACAACCACAGCAGCAAACAGCAUGUAAUUCGACUAGAAAAAACAUUGAAAAAGUUGGUCUCACUCCUGGUUUACAGCUAACCUUCGACUGAUACAACUCUAUAUAGC
rnacentral:lncRNA from 1 species